rnacentral:rRNA from 1 species
CAGUAGCCGCGGUAAUACGAAGGGUGCAAGCGUUACUCGGAAUUACUGGGCGUAAAGCGUGCGUAGGUGGUGGUUUAAGUCCGUUGUGAAAGCCCUGGGCUCAACCUGGGAAUUGCAGUGGAUACUGGGUCACUAGAGUGUGGUAGAGGAUAGUGGAAUUUCCGGCGUAGCAGUGAAAUGCGUAGAGAUCGGAAGGAACAUCUGUGGCGAAGGCGACUAUCUGGGACAACACUGACGCUGAGGCACGAAAGCGUGGGGAGCAAACAGGAUUAGAUACCCCAGUAGUCCCUGUCUCUUAUAC